UCGCGGCGAAGAUGACCGAAUCGUUCGUCGUCCACCCUCACUCCUCUCUUUUUCCUUCUGGUUUCCCCUUCUUUCCUUCCCCUGCGUAACUCUUCCUCUCUUUUUCGCCUCGAGGUGCAUUUUCGGCGCAGGAGGUUCAUUGGAUAUUAUAAUCUUUAGGGAGAUCUUCUUGGCAUUGGACCAAAAUGUUGGACCCACAAUGUGAGGUUCAAGGUUCUGAAUACUUUUUCUGUCACUUGUAUGGAAUCUUAUUCGACCAGUAUGUUGCCUUCAAUACACUGAUGAACCAGUAUGGUACUGAACUGGUUGCAGCGCUAUAGUGCGACCGCUCACCACGCCGGGACAAAAAGCCUCAAAAUGGCUCUGUUUUCAUGUGUCGCGGGUUGUUUUCUGCAGCUUGUUGCAGUACCCAAAACGUCAGUCAUCUCAACACCCUGGAACCCCCUGGGUGGCACAGGGCUAGAUGGGGCUUCGGUAUAUUGUUGGGCAUUGAAAAAUCUUCACAAGUUUGCACAUUGACAUGACGGGAACUUAACUUCGCGCCUGGCACCUGGUGAGCAGUUGUUUGUGGACUUGCAACCGUUCGUUCUACUUUCUAAAGUCCUUGUUUUUCUCCUUCCUCUUUUUUCUCCUAUGCACACAAUGUGCUUGCUGAAUUGCUUGUAAAACUUCUCUUUAUGAGACUUUCGGACUUGUCCAUUGCUCGUUUUCAAUCUAAUCAAUUUUUUGUUUUACCGGUCCUUCGGGACCUGUACAAGGUUACAACUAGGUUGACCAUUUGCGGAUGCAUAUGUCGCAAGGGCGCCUCAUGACUUAGGCAAUCCUAACUAAGUCUGAGAAGUUGGUGCAAGAGUGUAUCACGUCUUAGGCAACUCAAGCUAAGUUCGUGUUUUGAUCGCAAGGGUGUCUCAUGACUUAGACAAUUCCAGUUAAGUUCGUGACACAUAGGCAAAAAAUAAACUGCUAAUUCAGAUUCUUUUAUUUUGAGAGACCUAGACAUGGCCUUAGUAUUAAAAGUCAAAAAGUGUGUGGAAGAGAAUGCAGAGUUAGGAAAAGAGGUCGAGACGUGCA